CCUACGGGGGGCAGCAGUAGGGAAUCUUCCACAAUGGACGAAAGUCUGAUGGAGCAACGCCGCGUGAGUGAAGAAGGGUUUCGGCUCGUAAAGCUCUGUUGGGAGUGAAGAAAGAUAGAGGUAGUAACUGGCCUUUAUUCGACGGUAAUUACUUAGAAAGUCACGGCUAACUACGUGCCAGCAGCCGCGGUAAUACGUAGGUGGCAAGCGUUGUCCGGAUUUAUUGGGGGUAAAGGGAACGCAGGCGGGCUUUUAAGUCUG
rnacentral:rRNA from 1 species